rnacentral:rRNA from 1 species
AGUGAACGCUGGCGGUAGGCCUAACACAUGCAAGUCGAACGGCAGCACAGUAAGAGCUUGCUCUUACGGGUGGCGAGUGGCGGACGGGUGAGGAAUACAUCGGAAUCUACUUUUUCGUGGGGGAUAACGUAGGGAAACUUACGCUAAUACCGCAUACGACCUACGGGUGAAAGCAGGGGAUCUUCGGACCUUGCGCGAUUGAAUGAGCCGAUGUCGGAUUAGCUAGUUGGCGGGGUAAAGGCCCACCAAGGCGACGAUCCGUAGCUGGUCUGAGAGGAUGAUCACCCACACGGGAACUGGGACACGGUCCAGACUCCUACGGGAGGCAGCAGUGGGGAAUAUUGGACAAUGGGCGCAAGCCUGAUCCAGCCAUACCGCGUGGGUGAAGAAGGCCUUCGGGUUGUAAAGCCCUUUUGUUGGGAAAGAAAAGCAGCAGGUUAAUACCCCGCUGUUCUGACGGUACCCAAAGAAUAAGCACCGGCUAACUUCGUG